UUCACAUGUUCAGCAAUCUGAAAACUCUUUGAAGGCCAUCCUUUUGGGGUUUUAUGCAGGUAUAUUUAAAGAGGCUUCACUGUUAAAUCAUUGGUCAAUAGUAAUCUAUUCAACCUUCAGUCCCUCUCCCCUCCCUGGAGGUAGGGGGAUUGGGCUAAAAUUUCCAACCCUUUAAUCACAGUUGAUUCUCCUGGCAACUAUCCCUGAUCCUGAGGCUACCCAGGACCCCCCAGCCAUCAGUCCUCUUACUACCAUAUUCACCAGACACUCAUCACUUCAGAGAUCCCAAGGAUUUCAGGAGCUGUGUGCCAGGAAAUGGAGGCAGAAACCAAAUAUGUAUUUUUUUUUAUUACGUCACAAAGACUAAAAGUGAAUGAAAGAGAUGAAAACUACAAUGGUGAGUAAAAAAGACACUGUUUGAUUAACAAAAGAUUAGACAUUGUAGAAGAAUCAUUAGCUUGAAACCAUAGCAACAGAACUAUUCAAAGUGAAAUACCUACUUUUAAAAGAGAAUUUUAAAAGAAAGAAAAAAGAACACAGCAUAGUGAGCAGAAAAGAAUUUCUGAAAGUUGGGGUGUAGGGCAGAAAAAUAUCUGAAAAAAUAAUGCUCCCCAAAUUCCAAAUUUUAGACCAACUCUACACCCACAUAUUCAAGAAGCUUAAUGAAACCUGGGCACAAGAGAUGUGAAGAAAAUAACACCAAAUUACAUUACAGUCAAAUUACUCAAAACCAGUAAUAAAGCAAAUCUUAAAAGCAGCCAAGGGCCGGGCGCAGUGGCUCACGCCUGUAAUCCCAGCACUUUGGGAGGCCGAGGCGGGCGGAUCACCUGAGGCCAGGAGUCUGAGAGCAGCCUGGCCAACAUGGCGAAACCCCG
rnacentral:lncRNA from 1 species